rnacentral:misc_RNA from 1 species
AAGUCGUAACAAGGUAACCGUAGGUGAACCUGCGGUUGGAUCAUUACUGAAAUACUCAUCCGGGAUUUUUCUUUUUUCUUUUCCCGAACGGGAGAGGAAAUUGAAGUCCCGGUAUGAUAUUUACACCCCCUUGUGAAUUGUAUACUUGUAUUUUGGCUGCCCUUCCAAUGAUAAAUAUUUUAUGAUAUGGGCGGUGCGGGAUUUCCCAUAUGGGAAACCAUCCGGGAUCCCUCCCCCCACCCAUUCAUUUAAUUUUCCUUUACCAAAGGGGGCGAGCGGUCAGUAACUUUAAAAACACCUUAUGAACCCAUUUUAUUUCCAUGAGUCUCCUAGCGAUUCUUUUUGAGAAACGCGUUUUUGAAUCAAUAAAAAAACAACUUUUGACAACGGAUCUCUUGGCUCUC